rnacentral:rRNA from 1 species
UACGUAGGGUGCAAGCGUUGUCCGGAAUUAUUGGGCGUAAAGAGCUCGUAGGCGGUCUGUCGCGUCGGCUGUGAAAACCCGGGGCUCAACCCCGGGCCUGCAGUCGAUACGGGCAGACUAGAGUGCGGUAGGGGAGACUGGAAUUCCUGGUGUAGCGGUGAAAUGCGCAGAUAUCAGGAGGAACACCAAUGGCGAAAGCAGGUAACUGGACUAUUACUGACACUCAACUGCGAAAGCUAGGGGAGCAAACAGG